UCAGUGGAUCUAAAGAAGUCGACAGGGUUUAGCGAUGUGUUUUGCAUGGUGAUGGGGAAGACUUGUUUGGGUUUGGGUUUGGGUUUCCCUGUGUUCUCCACUCCCAGAGCCUGCACUGUACUACCCAUGUGUGUGGGAUUCUGCUGACACCCAUGGGCUCAAAGCCUUUGCCAGGUAACAACAGUGCUGCGUGGAGGCUUGUGGGGCUGAGCUGUGGGGGCUGGCUCCACACCUGGCUUUGUCCCCGGAAAUGAUCACUAUCAUACAUCAUAAAUGCAGAAGGAAGAGUGCAUGUCCAGAGGUCGUGCUGUCCCAAUCUGUUCCUGUGCUGGAGGGUAGGGGGCACAGAGACCGACCUUGGCCAGACUCAGAUCUUAGACAACUGUGCAAUACCUGGCUCAGGCUCUCCUCACUUGCCCGCCUCCCAGUUUGAGAAGCAGGAGGCAAGGAGAGUCCAACUGAAGGACAGCAUCUGAACCCCAGAGUGACCGGAUCAGAGGAGCAGAGAGCUGAAUAAUGCUCAGCAGUUCUGACCCAGACACUCUCUUCCUGAAGGGCUCCCCUUGGGUGGCCACUGGGACCUCACUCUUGCUUUUUGUGGUGCUUCUGCUGGUGGGCACACUUGGGUUCACCUGGAAACUUUACCAGGAGAGAGAGCGAGAUCGGCGGGCCAAAGGCCGCUAUCAGGACCAGUGACCUCACAAGACUUCUUUGUUCCUCUCCAGGCUGAAGAAAAGCCAGAAGGUGAAAGGCGAGCCAACUGGAAUUGUUCUGAAGACUUCACCUCCUUCACCUAACAGGUGGCUUUGUCUGGUUUCCUUCUCCUGAGGCCUUGCUCACUCUUGCCCCUUGUGUCA